ACCCGAGCCGUUUGUGACAAGGCGCUGAUUUUAUCUGCUUUGUUCGUUCGGCUCGCGUUA
rnacentral:pre_miRNA from 1 species